rnacentral:rRNA from 1 species
GUGUCAGCAGCCGCGGUAAGACAGAGGGUGCAAACGUUGCUCGGAAUCACUGGGCGUAAAGGGCGUGUAGGCGGAUAGGCAAGUCAGACGUGAAAUCCCCAGGCUCAACCUGGGAACAGCAUUUGAAACUGCCUGUCUUGAGUGUCGGAGAGGAAAGCGGAAUUCCUGGUGUAGAGGUGAAAUUCGUAGAUAUCAGGAGGAACACCGGUGGCGAAGGCGGCUUUCUGGACGACAACUGACGCUGAGACGCGAAAGCGUGGGUAGCAAACAGGAUUAGAUACCCUGGUAGUCCACGCCGUAAACGAUGAACACUAGGUGCUGCGGGUAUUGACCCCUGCGGUGCCGUAGCUAACGCAUUAAGUGUUCCGCCUGGGAAGUACGGUCGCAAGACUAAA